rnacentral:rRNA from 1 species
AGAGUUUGAUCAUGGCUCAGAACGAACGCUGGCGGCGUGGAUAAGACAUGCAAGUCGAACGAUCACUAUUGGGUAGCAAUAUUCGGUAGUGGGAGUGGUGCAAGGGUGCGUAACACGUGGGUAAUUUGCCGUAAAGUCUGGGAUAACUUGCUGAAAGGCGAGCUAAUACCGGAUGUGAUUGCUGGAGGGCAUCCUCUGGCACUUAAAGUCGGGGACCGUAAGGCCUGACACUUUUCGAUAAGCCCGCGGCCUAUCAGCUAGUUGGUGAGGUAACGGCUCACCAAGGCUAAGACGGGUAGCUGGUCUGAGAGGACGACCAGCCUCACUGGAACUGAGACACGGUCCAGACACCUACGGGUGGCAGCAGUCGAGAAUUUUUCUCAAUGGGGGAAACCCUGAAGGAGCGACGCCGCGUGGGGGAUGAAUGGCUUCGGCCCGUAAACCCCUGUCAUUUGCGAUCAAACCUUACGACCUAACACGUCGUAAGCUGAUAGUAGCGAAGAGA